AGUGAACGCUGGCGGUAGGCCUAACACAUGCAAGUCGAACGGCAGCACAGUAAGAGCUUGCUCUUACGGGUGGCGAGUGGCGGACGGGUGAGGAAUACAUCGGAAUCUACUUUUUCGUGGGGGAUAACGUAGGGAAACUUACGCUAAUACCGCAUACGACCUACGGGUGAAAGCAGGGGAUCUUCGGACCUUGCGCGAUUGAAUGAGCCGAUGUCGGAUUAGCUAGUUGGCGGGGUAAAGGCCCACCAAGGCGACGAUCCGUAGCUGGACUGAGAGGAUGAUCAGCCACACUGGAACUGAGACACGGUCCAGACUCCUACGGGAGGCAGCAGUGGGGAAUAUUGGACAAUGGGCGCAAGCCUGAUCCAGCCAUACCGCGUGGGUGAAGAAGGCCUUCGGGUUGUAAAGCCCUUUUGUUGGGAAAGAAAAGCAGCAGGUUAAUACCCCGCUGUUCCGACGGUACCCAAAGAAUAAGCACCGGCUAACUUCGUG
rnacentral:rRNA from 1 species